rnacentral:rRNA from 1 species
GACGAACGCUGGCGGCGUGCUUAACACAUGCAAGUCGAACGGAAAGGCGCUGCUUUUGCGGGGUGCUCGAGUGGCGAACGGGUGAGUAACACGUGAGUAACCUGCCCUUGACUUUGGGAUAACUUCAGGAAACUGGGGCUAAUACCGGAUAGGAGCUCCUGCUGCAUGGUGGGGGUUGGAAAGUUUCGGCGGUUGGGGAUGGACUCGCGGCUUAUCAGCUUGUUGGGGGGGUAGUGGCUUACCAAGGCUUUGACGGGUAGCCGGCCUGGGAGGGUGACCGGGCACAAUAGGACUGAGGUACGGCCCAGACGCCUACGUGAGGCAGCAGGGGGGAAUAUUGCACAAUGGGCGGAAGCCUGAUGCAGAAACGCCGCGUGCGGGAUGACGGCCUUCGGGUUGUAAACCGCUUUCGCCUGUGACGAAGCGGUAGUGACGGUAAUGAGUAAAGAAGCACCGGCUAACUACGUG